rnacentral:rRNA from 1 species
GACGGAAGGUGCAAGCGUUGCUCGGAAUCACUGGGCGUAAAGGGUGCGUAGGCGGCCGUGCAAGUCUGGCGUGAAAGCCCCGGGCUCAGCCCGGGAAGUGCGCUCGAAACUGCGCGGCUCGAGUGCCGGAGGGGAGAGUGGAAUUCCUGGUGUAGCGGUGAAAUGCGCAGAUAUCAGGAGGAACACCGAUGGCGAAGGCAGGUCUCUGGGCCACUACUGACGCUGAGAAGCGAAAGCGUGGGGAGCGAACAGG